AAAAGUGCUUUUGAAAAGAACUUGGGAGUCCUGAAAGGAUAAUUAACUGAGAAAGCUUCAGAGCAGCUCCUCAGUCUUUUUAGAAACAUAAUCUAUGUCUUCUAGAAGGCGUGAGGUGCAGUACCUGCUUGCUGAGUGUGACAGUGGUGUUUAUGCUGACCAGGUGAUGUUGAGUGUUUGCUGGGGUAGUACCAUCUGUGCUGGUGUCAGAGCAUCUCCUGACUCUAUUCCAAUCUGCCUGCAUGCACAGGAAGACAUACGUCUCCGUAUCUUCCAUAUUCAAGCUGUCAUCACUCUGAGGGAGAUGGUGUAAGAGGAAACAGGUCUGACCUCGCCUCAAAGAUUGGUACGUCCUCCUGAGAACAAAGUGGAGGAGGGAGCCCAGUGUGCAGUUUGCUCUGUCGUGACUCCGUUGGAGACCUGGCCAGUGACAAGUUCUUCCAGGAGAAAGAAACAAACACAUUGUACUGGACCUGCCGGUGUGUGAGCAAACUUACAGAGCAGACGCCUCUCAGAGGUACACACUCAGCUUGCAAACAUAGCUCACAGACUGUGAAUGCACACACAAUAGCUGUUCUUUUCUGGUCCUUUCAGGCUUUUGGCACCUCUAAAGCUCUUUGUGAGGCUGCCUGGUUUCCCAAUCCUGGACCAAUGACUUGGGCAUUUUUCCAUGCCAAUGUUAUAUCUUGGGGGGAAAGGAAUGAAAGCAGAGACACAAUAGAAAAUGCUGAUGGGAGCAGAGCAGAGCAGAGGUGAAUUGUCAGUGUCUGGCUCCUCUCAGAAGAUCCCGGUCUGCAGUAAGACAACUCAACAUGCCCUGCUGCUGGACCAGAACAGCCAACUCAGUGUCUUUGAUAUCACUAUUCAUAGCUGAAGCUUCCCGGUAAGUUCUAUUUACGAGAUCUGCGUGUGGCAUCAUAACAGGGACUGUCUCCAAGUUAAAACCAAGUGCUUAAAAAACAAAUAUAUUUCUGUA